UAAUUUCCAAGUACUAUUCAUUAAAGACAAAGAUCAUUUUCUUUUCCUCCCCCCACCCCCCGUAGCUGACGCAUGAUUCCACUGGGUGUCACAUGUGUUCUUGAUUCGAACCCAUUGCUAUGUUGUUAAUAUUUGCAUUAGAGUUUCGUUUAGAGUCUUUCCUCUGUCAUGUCCCCUCAGCCAUUGUAGUCAGGCAGUUGCUUUUCCUUGGUGUUUCCACUCCCACAGUUUGUCCUCUGCUUAUGGAUAGUGUUUUUUCUCCUAGAUCCCUGCAGAUUGUUCAGGGACAUUACACUACCACUAAUGGAGAAGUCCAUUACGUUCGAUUAUACCACAGUGUAUUAGUCUCUGUGUACAAUGUUCUCCUGGUUCUGCUCCUCUCGCUCUGCAUCCUUCCUGGAGGUUGUUCCAGUCUCCAUGGAAUUCCUCCACUUUAUUAUUCCUUUCUGCUCCUCUCGCUCUGCAUCACUUCCUGGAGGUUGUUCCAGUCUCCAUGGAACUUCUCCACUUUAUUAUUCCUUUGAGCACAAUAGUAUUCCAUCACCAACAUAUACCACAGUUUGUUCAGCCAUUCCCCAAUUGAUGGGCAUCCCCUCGUUUUCCAGUUUUGGGCCACCACAAAGAGCGCAGCUAUGAAUAUUUUUGUACAAGUCUUUGUGUCCAUUAUCUCUUUGGGGUACAGACCCAGCAGUGCUAUGGCUGGGUCAAAGGGUAGAUAUUCUUUUGUCGCCCUUUGGGCAUAGUUCCAAAUUGCCCUCCAAAAUGGUUGGAUCAGUUCACAACUCCACCAGCAAUGAAUUAAUGUCCCUACUUUGCCACAUCCCCUCCAGCAUUCAUUACUUUCCUUUGCUGUUAUGUUAGCCAAUCUGCUAGGUGUGAGGUGAUACCUCAGAGUUGUUUUGAUUUGCAUCUCUCUGAUUAUAAGAGAUGUAGAACACUUCUUCAUGUGCUUGUUAAUAGUUUUGAUUUCUUUAUCUGAGAACUGCCUAUCCAUUUCCCUUGCCCAUUUAUCAAUUGGAGAAUGGCAAAUUUUUUGUACAAUGAUUUAGCUCAUUAUAAAUAUGAGUAAUUAAACCUUUGUCAGAGGUUUCUAUGAAGAUUUUUUCCCAAUUUGUUGUUUCCCUUCUGAUUUUAGUUAUAUUGGUUUUGUUUGUACAAAAGCUUUUUAGUUUGAUGUAGUCAAAAUUAUUUAUUUUACAUUUUGUGAUUCUUUCUAUAUCUUGCUUGGUUUUAAAGCCUUUCCCCUCCCAAAGGUCUGACAUGUAUACUAUUCUGUGUUUACCCAAUUUACUUAUGGUUUCCUUCUUUAUGUUUAAGUCACUCACCCAUUUUGAAUUUAUCUUGGUGUAGGGUGUGAGGUGUUGAUCUAUUCCUAGUCUCUCCCACACUGUCUUCCAAUUUUCCCAGCAGUUUUUAUCGAAUAGUGGAUUUUUGUCCCAAAAGCUGGGAUCUUUGGGUUUAUCGUAUACUGUCUUGCUGAGGUCGUUUUCCCCCAGUCUAUUCCACUGAUCUUCCUUUCUGUUU
rnacentral:lncRNA from 1 species